rnacentral:lncRNA from 1 species
UUAAAAUAUAUAUUAUAUUAUACAUGCGUAAGUAAUAAUUAUGUUUUUAUAUUAUAUUAUUAUUAAUAUAUUAUAUUAUAUUAUAUUAUAUUAUUAUUAAUAUAUUAUAUUAUAUUAUAUUAUAUUAUUAUAUUAUUAUAUUAUUAUAUAUAUGACAAAGAAAGAAAGAAAAGAAACAGAGAGCAAAACAAAACAGAGAAGGGAGAAAGAAAGAAACAGAGAGCAAAACGAAACAGAGAAGGAAGGAAGGAAAGAAAGAAAGAAAAGAAAAGAAAAAGGGAAAUUUCGGGUUUUAAGGUUCAAAGUAAUUUGGUAAGUCAAUUUAAUCCCCUUUUCUCUUAAUUUUGAUAUUUUUUUUGAAAUCUUAGAAUAAAAUACUACUUGAUUUAAGUUGAAAUUUUGGAAGUUAGUAGAUUAUUAAGCAUGGUUCAUGUUGAAUAAAUUGUUAAAUUAGGGAUGUAUUUGAUAGAAAUUUUGAUUGGAAUUGAAUAAAGGAUUGAAUUGUAAACUAAACUAUAAGUUUUGAAUUUUAGGGAUUAAUUUGAAAUAAAUUCGGAAUUAUGAAAACAUGAUAAAAAUUAAAUAGUUAAAUAUGAGUUUAGCAAGAAAUUGGGUAGAAUAAGGGUAUGAAUUGAGAAAGAAAAAUAUAUAGGUUUAGUUAGGGGUUAAAUUGAUUUAAUUUCAAGUUAGAAGUUAGUAAAGAAUGUAAUUGUAAAAUAAAAUAUAAGUUUUGAAUCGAUAGGGAUUAAAUUGAAAGAAUCCCGAAAUUAGGGAUUUAUGGUGAAAUUGAGGAAUUAAAUUGACUUUAUAGUAAGAAUUAAGAGAGAAUAUAGAGUUAGAAUGCAAAAAUAAAAUUAGUAUUGAUAAGGGAUUAAAUUAGAAUUUGAUGUUGCCAUAGAAGGGAAAAAUGUUCAGAAUGUUAUAAAACAUAAGAAUAAGAGAUGAAUUUUAAUUUCCGAGCCUUGGGGCAAAAAUGUAAUUAUGAAAAAGUUUAGGGGCAAAAUUGUAAUUUUGAAAAAGUUAGAGUCAAGGGCUAUUUUGAUGAAUGUGAUUAUUAAAUAAGUUAAAUUUACUAUUUUAGAUCAAGAAGUACGAAACUCGAGGUUAGUCAAAGGGAAGAAUAAAGUUGAAGACUAAGUUGGUGAAUUUGGCUAUAAUUGGUACCGAGGUAAGUUUACGGUAAAUAAAUGCAAUAUUUCAAUAUUUAUUAUUAAUGCUGUUAAUUUCCAGCAAUUAUGAAUUUAUUUUAUGAAUUUAUUUGAUGAUGAUCCAAGCAUGAAAUGAUAGAGAAUUAAAAUUUAAAAGUCCCGUUGAUACAUAAGGAUGGUACUGGAUACGAAUGUCAUGACAUUUGGGUAAAGAGAUCCCAUGUAAGACCAUGUCUGGGACAUGGCAUUGGCAUCCUUAAGAUCAUGAGAGGUCCCCUGUAAGACCAUGUCUGGGACAUGGCAUGGGCACCGAGACAAGAGGUCCCAUGUAAGACCAUGUCUGGGACAUGGCGUUGGCACCGAGAUGAGAGGUCCCCUAUAAGACCAUGUCUGGGACAUGGCAUGGGCACCAUCACGAGAACAUCCCAUGUAAGACCAUGUCUGGGACAUGGCUUUGGCAUGUUAUUAUCAGAAGAGACCCGAGUAUCCUUAUUAUUCCAAUGUAGUUCAACGGGCUUGUAAACGAAUCAUGUUCAUGAAAGUUCAGUUUAAAACAUAAAUGGCAAGCUCAGGUAAGUUGUAAGACUUAAGAACUUAUUAUACUAUCAAUUGAUGUUCAACGAUGCAGCAAGGAUUGAGUAAGUUAUGCACACAAAUAUUCUAAGUAAACAAGUAAGAAAACUAGUAUGAGAUUAACUAAAGAGUAAACUAGAGAUAUAGACAUUGAGUUUAAUUGUUUAAGUUAAAUAUUGUUAUUUAUUUGCUAGUAAUCUUACUAAGCUUUAUGCUUACUUCUUUUAUUUCUCUUUCUCUUAUAGUAUUGCAAAGCUACUUCAAUGAUCCUAAAUAAGUCGGAGACCGUCCACACUAUCAACUACAACUGCUCGGUAUUUUAUAUCGAAACACGUUUAAGUUAUGGCAUGUAUAGGGAUUUAGUUAUUUUGUAUGUUUGUAGUGAUGAUUUUGCUAAUGAGUGAUGUGUAAGUAUUUGGUGAUGUAUGGUUAUUAAAAUGAUUAAGGAUGAAUGUGUUUGUUGUUAUGAAAGAUUAGGUGAUAAAUUAUGCAUGGAAAUCAUGAAAGGAUAAAAUUUUGCAAAGAUACAGAAUUCAGGCAGCACAGUGACGUGAAUUUGAAAAAUCACCCAAGAUAGUAUAAAAUGAAUUAGAGGGUGAAUGAUAUAUGGAAUUAAAGCUUGUUGAGUCUAUUUUCAUGGAAAAAUAACGGUGUAGAAAAAAAGAAAUUUAUAUUUUAAGAUAUGUGAAUUUUAGUAAGAUAGGGUCAGAACUGUUUUUGGAGUCCCCUGUUCUGAGUUUAGAAAAUAAUUACAAAUUGUAAAAAAAUGUUUAUGAGUUGAAUUUUACAUGCUUAGAUUCCUUAAUGAGUCUAUUUUCUAUAGAAACAAGUAAGAACUUCAUAUGAAAAUCCUAUAGUGAGAAAACUUAUUUUUAGUGACUAGAUGUCAGGGCAGUCUGGUGGUGACACAGGGGAGACUUUAACUAAUAAACUGUACUAAUUUGCUGAACCAAAAAUUCUAAAAAUUUUAUGGUGAGUAGAUAUAUGAGUCUAGUUUCAGGAAAAAUUUACGGGAUUAAAUUUCGAGUUCUGUAGCUCAAGUUAUAAUUAAUUUAGUAACUGCUGCGCGAUUAGACAGAUUUGCUGCGAAUAAUGAAAUAAAUUUUCAAAUCUAGUUUUUAUGCUCCGAAUUGGUAAGAUAAGCUAAGUAAUGCCUCGUGCUCGACUCCGGAAACGGUCUCGGGUAAGGGGUGUUACAAAUGAGUUAGUAUAAAUUUAAAUUUCAUAAAUUGAGUUUGACUAAACUUGAACAUUUAUAUAUAAUGUAAAUAUCAUACAUGAAUUGAACUCCAA